UACGUAGGGGGCUAGCGUUGUCCGGAAUCACUGGGCGUAAAGGGUUCGCAGGCGGAAAUGCAAGUCAGAUGUAAAAGGCAGUAGCUUAACUACUGUAGGCAUUUGAAACUGCGUAUCUUGAGAAGAGUAGAGGUAAGUGGAAUUUUUAGUGUAGCGGUGAAAUGCGUAGAUAUUAAGAAGAAUACCGGUGGCGAAGGCGGCCCACUGGGCAUAUGCUGACGCUGAGGAACGAAAGCGUGGGGAGCAAACAGG
rnacentral:rRNA from 1 species